rnacentral:ncRNA from 1 species
AAGUGCUUGGAUUCCGACGAAAACAGCAGUUGGCAGACAGGAAGUCUGCCAAAGACCGAGCUGAGCCAUGGAUGGCGAAUCGAGGUCGGCUGCGUCAGGAACCAAUAUAUUAUCGUGCGGAAUCCGUAGCACUUCUU